rnacentral:lncRNA from 1 species
AGAUAAAAGAUUACAACUUUCUAGCUUAAAAGUACACGAUUUUAUUUCAAAUAGAAGAUGUAGGAAAACGAUCUCCCUUCUGCUGUCUGGAGCUGGGCUUCCUCUCCCUGUAAGAACAACCAACAUCUUAUCUGCGUUGUUGUUAGUGGCCACUUCAUCGACCCAUUAGUGGGUGGAUUUUAAGAAUAAAAAGGUUUCUUUUUAGCACAUCAUCACGUGAAAAGCAAGGAGCUUGCCACCCAUUAUAGAGCGUGGGGCACUCUUGCAUCGAAGAAUAUAUGAUCCUGAGGUUGUUCUGGUGACGGGUAUUGCCAUAUUGGCCAUUACAUAAAGCUUCGACAAGCCAUUCCUCACCUCUCCCCGCCCGAGCUCUCCCCCUCCCUCUUCCGCCUCUCGGAAACCGCCGCAUCCAAUAAGGCUUCAGAUUUCUGCCAG